AAAAUUAGAAAAUAAAAGCCAAGGCAUGACUUAUAUUGCUGGUGGUGGUUACUAACCACCGGUUACUAACCCUGGUUAGUUUAGCAUCCUGAAAACAAGAUUCAUACGUUUCUUUGUGGUCCACAAUUACCGCUUGGGUUUUCCCUGCCCCCAUACAUCCUUUUUUUUCUGGAAAAAUGGGUUGUAUCUCGUUUAUGGUAUGCAUAAAAUUGUUGCAUUUACUUUAUUCUAUGUCGUGAUGUCUCAUUAUUAGACUUAUGGCUUCUUCCCAGAUCGAGAUUGUUUCGUCUUCACCGUUUGUUUGUGGUUUAAGAGAUCAUAAUCGGCAUGAACAAUGUAAUAGAGAGAGCAAGAGAAAGAAGGAGAGUCAUGAGAAGCUGGAGGAAGGAUUAUCUACUCUGCUCGCAGAUCUGAACCGCAUAUGCAGAGCAUGGAAUGACCUCUACAUUUGUUGGUACUUCUACAAAGUUGUGGUGAAAAAGUACGAAAAAUAAGCCGGGUCUCAGCCGGGUUUACCCGGGUCGGCCGGGUCUCGGGUCGACCCCUCGGGUCGACUGGGUUUCACCGGACCAACUUCCAGGCGAGUUUUUGCUUAGACCCGGACCGGUUUCAUACCCGGGUUGACCCGCUGGGCCGAUCCAGGUUUCAAAACUAUGCUCUCAAGGAUCAUAUUAGGAUUGUGUCUGGGCAUACGAGGGGUGAAGAUAAAGGAGGGUGUUUGAGAGUGUAGUAAUGAUUAUUUUUAAAGUGUUUUUUAUUUAAAAAUACGUUAAAAUAAUAUAUAUAUAUUUUUUAAAAAAAUUAUUUUUAACAUCGGCAUAUUAAAAAGAUCUUAAAAUAUAUAUAAAAAAAUUUAAAUAAAAAAAAUUAAACUUGUAUGAAACAUGGUUUGGAUCAUAUUCUCAAAGGUGUCUAAUGCUCUGUUUGUUUUUGCGUUUCAAAAACGCUUUUAAAAAAAAUUAAAUUUUUUUUAUUUUUUUCUUUACUUAAAAUUAAUAUAUUUUUUUGGUGUUUUUAUAUCAUUUUGAUGCGCUGAUAUCAAAAAUAAUUUUUAAAAAUUAAAAAAAUAUUAUUGUAAUAUAUUUUUAAAUAAAAAAUAUUUUGAAAAGUAAUCACAAUUAAACUUUCAGACUCCAAGAUGCUUAAGGGUCAAGAUAAGGUCGUGCUAGGGAGCCCGAUUUGAGUUUAAAAUUGAGUAGAAAGGCUUAGGGUAUCAUGUUUAGGGCGGCGCUCAUUUGUGGGGUUAGGGUUAACUGUUAAGGUCCCGUUUGUUUGCUGGAAAGUAGUUUCUUUUUGAAAAGUGAAUUCCGGGAAAGUGAAUUAUUUUCUGAUGUUUGGUAGUAUAAUGGAAAAUAAGUUGGAAAACACUUUCCAGUGUUUGGUUAUGUUAUGGAAAAUGAGCUGGAAAAUAACUUAUUAAUGUUU